AGAACGUUCCCUCUGCCUUUUGGGGGUAUAUGUGCUGCCUACUCUGCUUCUAAUAACAGCACUUAUCAUUUAAAGGGUCUUCCAUUAUGCUGAGUGGAGAAAAAUUGCUUCUUAUUGAUGGGGACUGAAGGAAAAGGAAAAACCAAUUCAGAACUUGCAUGCAAUGCUCUGCUGGGAUAUGCCUAGAGGACCACCAAGAAAGUAUGCCCCAGGCUGGAGUGCCCUGUCUGCAUGGGGGGACGCCCUGGUGUCCAAGAUGGCGAGGCCAGCUCGGCGAAGGAGAGCUCAGCCGCCCUGCCUGUGCUGGGGAGCUAGUGGGGAGCUCCGAUGGUUUUGUGGGUACCAGCCUCUAGUGAGGGGUGUCCCUGACUGCCCAAAGCUGGGAACGGGAUUGGGGUCUCCAGUUGGGCAGCUCUCUUGGCGCCACUGCUGGAGGGGUUGGAGGUAAAUAGCAAAUGAGAACUUUUAUUGUCAGUGAACAGAAGGAGGGAAGAGGAAUUGCACCACCUCUGCCUCCGCUCGGACAACCAGGUAAUUUCCAGCGUGUCCAGAAGGUAGCUCCAUGCAGGAGAAAAAGUCAUGGGCCCCUUGUCAUCUCCUGUGAAAGGGCCUGCAAGAAAUCUUUAAUGCUAUAUCUUAUGGAAAUCUCAACACCACUCCUCUUUGGCAGCACAGAUUGCUGUGACCUAAUCCCUUUCCACCUGAAGAACUGACAUUAAUUUCAAAUCUAGUCUGCUUAGAAGAUGAGUUAAAAACAGUUUCUGCCACUACAUUUUUUCUCAAAUCCUCCAGGUACUUUACUUUUAUUCUUUUAUUUAAUGUUUUAAACUAUACUUUUCUCUUUUCUGCAGGUGCUUAUCUAUACAAAAAACAUGAAGUUAGCUAAAAUAAGGAAAAGCAUGAAACUAACUGCAGAAGAAAGUACUUUCAAGUGUACAAAGUAAAGAAAAUGGAAGCAUAAUUUUCUCUAAUCUUGUUUGCUUCUAGCUACCUUUGGUGUUAUUUGUAACAGUAGGAGUUGACAACUAGGUAGAAAAAGUGUGAUCUUUAAGUUGAUGGUGUCCCUUUAAGGGGUCUUGGAUCUGACCAGGUAUAAGAUACAGGCAAAGAAUAUAGAAAGACAGUAGAAAACUUAAACAAAAUUUAGAAAAUAGGAUGAGUCUCUGGAGGGCAGAGAAAUAACUUAUGCAACACCCCAAUUAUUUUUGAAAAGGAUCUUAAAAGAAUAGCAAGAAAUCAGAUCAGUCAGUUUGACAUCAAUUGUGUAAGUCUCAGAAGUGUUUUUAAAGGAUCAAAUGUGGAUAUAUUUAAAAAGCACAGUUUGAGAACAGACAAUUAGUGUGGCAUAAGGAUGGAGUUAUGAGGUUUAAGUAAUUUAUGUAUGUGAAUGUAUGUGUAUAUUUUAAAGAUAUUACUAUGGGGAUCAGUGGGAGUGCAAUAAACAGUAUAAACCAGGAUGCAACUGCAUGGCAAAAAUCUCUCUUUGAUUUAAGAGCUAAGGCAUGAAGUCCUCAGGAUAGAGGAAAAUGUGGCAAGCACAACUGAUGGUUGACUAAAUUAGGCAAAAGAUUAAAUGUCCUAUCUUUGGCCCUUGUCAGAUUAGCUCAAUUUCACAGGUCUGAGUCAUCAGGAAGGACCGGAAAGCUUUGGCAAACACUCCAUAUAGCUUUAGAAGAUCCUUAUGAUCGUGUGCAACAGAUUUGCUCCUGUGUGUCAAAGGUGUUAAAUGCAGAGUAUCAGAAAAAUGAUGCUUUUUGUUUCAAAGGAGUGAGAAAAAUAUCCUACUACAGGAAAAACCCAUUCAUCUGAAACAUUUUCCUGACAUUAAAACCAUUCAGAUUAAUGUGUGGGCUAUGUGUAUGGUUGGUGGGGUAUGGCAAAGAGAACUGACAACUAGAAGCACUAGAGAAGUGAGUGCAUAGGGAAAAAAGUGGAUCUGGAUGUGUGAAUGAUGCAAUUAUUUGGUAUUUGCAUGAAAAGAACAUGUCGCCCUACAGAAUUUUUGGAAGCCAUAUGCCCAGGUCUUAAUAGGCAUGGCUGAGAGCAGGGAAGAAGGGUGUGAUCAGAGGAAUCAUUUCAGUGAAGUGUAAGACCCCCGUAGCAAUUACAAUGAGACACGUCUGAUAUAAAACUCAUUCGCAUAUGCUGAUAGCAAUGAAGAAAAGGUUUGUCUGUUUUUCAGACGCUACUCAGUUAAAAGUCAUAGGACCCUGUAGGAACAUGAGAGAAUAAUUCUGUCACAUAUAUAGAUGGUAAGCUCUUCGGGUAAGGUACAAGCCACAAAACUGGGAUGAGGAUCUACAUUUUAAACAUCCCAAAGCUUCACUAUGUAAGUAGAGACCACUUGUAAAAAUUCAUAUUUCAGUUCAGAUUUUGAAACUCAAGCAAGAUGUUAGCUGUCUCUAAUACCUGGGAAGCAACCUGAACCAUAGUGAUGAAAGAUGCCAUAUACCAGUAAACAUAAGUUGUUGUUGAUGUUAUUCCUUUGCAGCAUUUGUCAUCAGAACUACUAAAUCAAGCUGCUUUGUCAUGCUGCACAUUGAAUGUUAAAAUAAUCCCAGAUAUAUUUGCAGAUACUACCUUAAAUUAUUUAAUAACCUGGCCUUGACAUAUGCAUAAAAAAGAGCAGAGGGUAAAUGCAGCCAAAAUGUGACAUUCUCUAUGAUACGAUAGAGGUACGUACAAAUUCCAACCAAGUGCUUGAUGCAGUGUGACAGCUUUACAUAACUCUCUUUUUUCUUUUUUUUUCUUUUUUUCUGAAUACACCACUGAAAAGAAUAUUUCUCUCUGUUGGCUUCAACUGGUGGAGAUGCUAUUUGGCUCCCUCUGUCAAUGAAAAUGGCAUUAGAACAUGCCAUUUUUUGUGUAUUUGCAGGUGGCUCCAGUCCAAAACACCUGGAAUCUUCUGUAAUUGUUUUAGCUGCUCUGUGUUGGUGUUUGCCACUUAUAUAAGAUGUGAAGAACUACACAUUUAAGAGGCAUCUGGCAAGAGCAUCAGACUGACUGUUAUGUUAUGCAGAGAGAGGUUCAUGUAAUCUAGUGCUGCGCAGAUACUGAAGGGAGCAGAUGCUGCCACAUAUUUGAGUGAUUUCUGAACAAUUCCUGUGAUGUUAGCAAUUUAUGCUAGACUUCUGCUAGUUGGAAGUAAGUGCCUCAGACAGUAGGUUCUAUUGACCCCACCACUUGGACAUGUUACUACUAUGAAAUUUGUGUCUAACAUGGGUGGCAAAAUAGAAGAAGGUGCAAAUAGCCAAGUGCCAUGUUUUAAACAGUUAUAACUUAAAAUCAGAUAGUAGUCAGGCCUACCUGUGCCAUGUUUUUCUUUAUGGCUCUCCUAGUGGAUUAAGGUGUGAAUUGCCCCAAUGAGUUGGGUUGUCCGUUAGUGACAAAUUGGAAUUUGUAGCUUUCCAGACUGAGGGUGGUUAGUGCUGUGUUUCUCCCUGAGCCCUUCCUACCAGUCUCUCUUUGCCUGCUGGCAGCUCUGGAUUGACUCGAGCCCAAAGGCGAGGUCCACAGCUCUCCUGCCUC